AACGCACAUUGCGCCCUUUGGUAUUCCGAAGGGCAUGCCUGUUCGAGCGUCAUUAUCACCCCUCAAGCCCCCGGCUUGGUGUUGGACGGUCUCGGUCGGUGGCCUCGCCCCGACCCCUCCCAAAGAUAAUGACGGCGGCCUCGUGGGACCCCCGGCACACUGAGCUUCUUUGUGAGCACGUGCUGGAUCUAGGGUCACCGAGCCCCGGUCGACGACGCCCCUCGGGGCGUCUUCUUUCUAGGCUGACCUCGGAUCAGGUAGGAAUACCCGCUGAACUUAA
rnacentral:misc_RNA from 1 species